CGUAUUAGGCAUCAACCUUUCCUCCUCGCUGAAAGUGCUUUACAACCCGAAGGCCUUCUUCACACACGCGGCAUGGCUGCAUCAGGGUUUCCCCCAUUGUGCAAUAUUCCCCACUGCUGCCUCCCGUAGGAGUCUGGACCGUGUCUCAGUUCCAGUGUGGCUGAUCAUCCUCUCAGACCAGCUAGGGAUCGUCGCCUUGGUGAGCCAUUACCUCACCAACUAGCUAAUCCCACCUGGGCAUAUCCAAUCGCGCAAGGCCCGAAGGUCCCCUGCUUUCCCCCGUAGGGCGUAUGCGGUAUUAGCAGUCGUUUCCAACUGUUAUCCCCCUCGACUGGGCAAUUUCCCAGGCAUUACUCACCCGUCCGCCGCUCGCCGGCAAAAGUAGCAAGCUACUUUCCCGCUGCCGCUCGACUUGCAUGUGUUAGGCCUGCCGCCAGCG
rnacentral:rRNA from 1 species